GAGAGAGAGAGAUUGGAGAAAGGAGUAUUCAUAGACAUUCUCUCUCUCCUCUGUCAUGCGGGUUCCAGGGAUCCAAUUCAGAGUAUCAGGCUUGGUGGCAAGUGCCUUUACCCACUGAACCAUCUUCCCGGUCCAAGACCCAUGUUUGAAGUGACAUCCGGUUUAAGUGACAUCCAUCUCUAUCAGUGUCCAUACAGGUUUCCUGCCAAUAAACCUUCAAUGGCAGCUGGAGGCCACAGACUCUCUGCCCGUGGUUGUCUGUCUGUUGCCCAGCUGAGGAUGCUUCUAUUCCAGCAGGAAGCAGGUCAUCUGAGAAUGAAGCUCCAGCACCACAGAACUGGCUGUUUUCUCUCCCUUUAAGUCUCUAUAAAUCAUAUAUAGCAAUGUUGGCAUGAGUCAUAAGACUGGGCAGCGGAGCUCCUGCUAAUCCACGCAGCUGCAUGGGCCUAAAAUACCUCCGUGAAUAGAGUGUGUUUGUCCUGCUCGGUUGAUCGCAUAAAUAGGAAAUCAGCAAAAUCUAGGGGUUCCCCAGUCUCUGAGUCUCGCAGUUCUUGGUUUGCUGCUGUCCCUUCUGUUUGCCCAGUGUCAACCCGUUUGCCAGCCUCUUGCCUCGACAGGGUCUCUCACUGGACCAGGAACUCCACGAUGAGCUAUUGAGCAAACCUACAGAUCCUCUCAUCUCUAACUCCCCAGUGUCGGAUUACUGCCAUGCUAUCACGCUCAGCUUUCUACAGGAGUGCUGGUGACCGAGCUCAUGCUUUCCUGUCCCUGGAGCAGGCGCCAUACAGACCGGGCCAUCUCUCCAGCAUCCCCGAUCACUUUCAUUUUGAUUCCCUCCUGAUGUAGAGAGAAUAAACCUCCAUUUCAGAGGGAACGGGGUUUGAG
rnacentral:lncRNA from 1 species